UACGUAGGGUGCGAGCGUUGUCCGGAAUUACUGGGCGUAAAGAGCUCGUAGGUGGUUUGUCGCGUUGUCCGUGAAAACUCACAGCUCAACUGUGGGCGUGCGGGCGAUACGGGCAGACUGGAGUACUGCAGGGGAGACUGGAAUUCCUGGUGUAGCGGUGGAAUGCGCAGAUAUCAGGAGGAACACCGAUGGCGAAGGCAGGUCUCUGGGCCACUACUGACGCUGAGAAGCGAAAGCAUGGGGAGCGAACAGG
rnacentral:rRNA from 1 species